GACAGAGGAUGCAAGCGUUGUCCGGAAUUAUUGGGCGUAAAGAGCUCGUAGGCGGUUUGUCGCGUCUGCUGUGAAAACUGGAGGCUCAACCUCCAGCCUGCAGUGGGUACGGGCAGACUAGAGUGCGGUAGGGGAGAUUGGAAUUCCUGGUGUAGCGGUGGAAUGCGCAGAUAUCAGGAGGAACACCGAUGGCGAAGGCAGAUCUCUGGGCCGUAACUGACGCUGAGGAGCGAAAGCGUGGGGAGCGAACAGG
rnacentral:rRNA from 1 species